rnacentral:rRNA from 1 species
AGGGGGGGCAAGCGUUGUUCGGAAUUACUGGGCGUAAAGGGUUCGUAGGUGGCCAACUAAGUCAGACGUGAAAUCCCUCAGCUUAACUGGGGAACUGCGUCUGAAACUGGAUGGCUUGAGUGCAGGAGAGGAACGCGGAAUUCCAGGUGUAGCGGUGAAAUGCGUAGAUAUCUGGAGGAACACCGGUGGCGAAGGCGGCGUUCUGGGCUGUAACUGACACUGAGGAACGAAAGCCAGGGGAGCAAACGGGAUUAGAUACCCCGGUAGUCCUGGCCCUAAACGAUGAAUGCUUGGUGUAACGGGUAUCGAUCCCUGUUGUGCCGAAGCUAACGCAUUAAGCAUUCCGCCUGGGGAGUACGGUCGCAAGGCUG